rnacentral:rRNA from 1 species
CGCGGCCUAUCAGCUUGUUGGUGAGGUAAUGGCUCACCAAGGCUUCGACGGGUAGCCGGCCUGAGAGGGCGACCGGCCACACUGGGACUGAGAUACGGCCCAGACUCCUACGGGAGGCAGCAGUGGGGAAUAUUGCACAAUGGGCGCAAGCCUGAUGCAGCAACGCCGCGUGCGGGAUGACGGCCUUCGGGUUGUAAACCGCUUUCAGUAGGGACGAAGCUAACGUGACGGUACCUACAGAAGAAGGACCGGCUAACUACGUGCCAGCAGCCGCGGUGAUACGUAGGGUCCGAGCGUUGUCCGGAAUUAUUGGGCGUAAAGGGCUUGUAGGCGGUCCGUCGCGUCAGGAGUGAAAACUCGGGGCUUAACCCCGAGCCUGCUUUUGAUACGGGCGGACUAGAGGGAUGCAGGGGAGAACGGAAUUCCUGGUGGAGCGGUGGAAUGCGCAGAUAUCAGGAGGAACACCGGUGGCGAAGGCGGUUCUCUGGGCAUCACCUGACGCUGAGAAGCGAAAGCGUGGGGAGCAAACAGGCUUAGAUACCCUGGUAGUCCACGCCGUAAACGGUGGGCACUAGGUGUGUGGGACAUUCCACGUUCUCCGUGCCGAAGCUAACGCAUUAAGUGCCCCGCCUGGGGAGUACGG